GAUGAACGCUGGCGGCGUGCCUAACACAUGCAAGUCGAGCGGGAUUCAUGAGGACGAAACUUCGGUCUAGAAAUCAUGAUGAGAGCGGCGGACGGGUGAGUAACGCGUAGGCAACCUGCCCUUAGCACAGGGAUAGCCUCGGGAAACCGGGAUUAAAACCUGAUAAUGCCAAACAGUCACAUGGCUGUUUGGCCAAAGAUUUAUCGGCUGAGGAUGGGCCUGCGUCUGAUUAGUUAGUUGGUGGGGUAACGGCCUACCAAGACGACGAUCAGUAGCCGACCUGAGAGGCUGAUCGGCCACAUUGGAACUGAGACACGGUCCAAACUCCUACGGGAGGCAGCAGUGGGGAAUAUUGCACAAUGGGCGAAAGCCUGAUGCGGCAACGCCGCGUGAGCGAUGAAGGCCUUUGGGUCGUAAAGCUCUGUCCUAGGGGACGAACACAAUGACGGUACCCUUGGAGGAAGCCCCGGCUAACUACGUGCCAGCCGCCGCCGUAACAC
rnacentral:rRNA from 1 species